rnacentral:rRNA from 1 species
AGAGUUUGAUCCUGGCUCAGGAUGAACGCUAGCUACAGGCUUAACACAUGCAAGUCGAGGGGAAACGACAUCGAAAGCUUGCUUUUGAUGGGCGUCGACCGGCGCACGGGUGAGUAACGCGUAUCCAACCUGCCCACCACUUGGGGAUAACCUUGCGAAAGUAAGACUAAUACCCAAUGACGUCUCUAGAAGACAUCUGAAAGAGAUUAAAGAUUUAUCGGUGAUGGAUGGGGAUGCGUCUGAUUAGCUUGUUGGCGGGGUAACGGCCACCAAGGCGACGAUCGAGGUAGGGGUUCUGGAGAGGAAGGUCCCCCCANAGUUGGAACUGAGACACGGUCCAAACUCCUACGGGAGCA